AGACUGACUCAAGAACGUGGAAAACAAAACAUGUUUCUUUUAAAAUAUUUUUCCUCUUAAACCAGACAUACUGGAAAGACUGCUAGAGUCAGACACUUUAGAAUGAAUGAUGAUGCAUCUUUUUAUAGCACUCAAGAAUGCCUUGGCCACUACUCCAUGAUUCUUUACUUGGGAAACAAGCACAACCACUAACCCACUAACUGUUGAACGUGAUAUAUGAACGUGGAGUAUAAUGUGAUUAUCUUGGGGAACAAGCCAACACUAGAGGACACUAGAGGAAAAAUUGCCAUGUGCUUCCCUUCAAGUGCGGCUCAUUUGAUAAAUUAGCAGCACUUGAGAGCGCACACACACACACAAAAAAAUUAUUUUCACAAGUGCGGGCUCAUUUUCGAAAAUUGGCAGUACUUGAGUUCAAGUGCGGGCUAUUUUACGAAAGACCCGCACAAAAUAUAUCAAAAAACUUUCAUUUCCCCUUCUCUCUCCUUCCUCUCCUCUGGUUCAACCUAACUCCAUUUUCCCAGUUCUCUCUCUUCCCCUCUCUGGUUUCUCUCCUUCACCUCUCUGGUUCUUCUUUGGGCGCAAAAUUCGGACACGAAGGCGCCGCCGCCGCCACAAUCGUCGUCCUCUUCGUCGGCGGCACCUGCGCCAAUGCAAAUGGCGGCGUCUACGACGAUGCCACCGCCCUCAUCGUUAGGGAAACCAGUUACUGACUGGAAAUCGAAGAGGACUACGCUUAUGCAGAUUCAAAAUGAGACCAUUUCUGCUGCUAAGGCUGUUCGUGCUAAUAUUUUGCCUCAAAAGCAGAAGAAAAGGGUACUAAGUCUCAUGCUGGUCUACAGAGCUGAUGCAGUGUUGCAGCGGCUAGUGUGCAUGAACCAUUGUAACAUACCUAUUAAUAAAAUUCUAUGUGUAAAUUGUUCUUAAAUAGUCUGCAUAUAUAGAACUUAAACCUUUGAUCAACUCCGAAGUGUUAAAAGCUGCGUUUUAACUCGAUCAAUAACUAGUGUUUUUAUAUUAUAAUUAUUUCAUGAUUGGAGGAAUUCUAGAAACAUGAACUUGCUAGAUAGGAAUUUCUUUCAUAUGAUCAAACAAGCCUCAAAAGUGCAUACUUUGGCCAAAAUAGGUGAGUAUGAGUCUUAGAAAAAUAAAUCUAAGUAUAUUAAACAUCUAACGGGUUUAAAAUACUUAUUUAAGUUCAUUAAUUGAAAGUUGUAACCGAAAAAAGUUAUUUUAGUCAAAACGUGAAACACUACAGUUGUAUAGAGGAAAUCUCAUUAUUUUUGGGGUAAUAAGGAAAACUUGUAUUGCGAGUGUGAAACACUACAGUUGUAGAGAAGUCUAUAUUAGUUUGUCAUGUAUUUCUUCUGUUUUCAGAGUUCACAUAGUGUAGAUUGUUACUUAAAUUUGUCAGUUUAUAAUAGUCUAAAGAAUUAAAGGAAUUAAGACUUGAAGUGUUCCGUUUAUGAUCUAGUGUUGGCUUUUUGAUGCUUAUUUGACCUUUUCUGCGUUUGGGAAUGGAUUGAGGCUAAUGGUGGUAGUUCACUCCUUGAAGACUUGUACAAGGCCUUGGAUAGAGUGGUCAAACUCUCUGAAUGUGAAAUUUACAAUUACAAUGCUGACUCCGAUGCAGACCCCUUUUUACAAAGAGGAGCAAUAUGGUCAUUCAAUUUUUUCUCCAAAGUGCCACCCAUUUGGAAUCUUCGGCCAUUAAGUGCCACCCAUUUGCAAUCUUCUGCUAUGUAUGGGUGGCAAGGUGGGAUAGGAAAUGAAGUACAAUCUAUCACCUUACCUAGGUGGGAUAGGAAAGUGGCCACUGCAAGUUCUUGGGCUCAACUCUAUGAUGGCUGAAGGAGCUGGUAUACAAUAAUCCGAGGGAGCGGCCUUUCACCUUUGAGGAGAUAGAUGAAGUUCGAGAAAUGUUGGCAAAUUUCAUUACCAGUGAUUGUCUUUGAUAUUUUCUUGUACUGAAUCUUAAAUUACGGAUGCUAGCUAGUUUUUCAUAUGAUUGUAAUGUAAUCGACUUUUAUAUUUACAAUUAUAUACCAUUUAAUUUAAUUAUCUAUAUAAUUGGAUACUAUUUAUAUGA